rnacentral:rRNA from 1 species
UACGUAGGGGGCAAGCGUUGUCCGGAUUUAUUGGGCGUAAAGAGCGUGUAGGCGGCUAGAUAGGUCCGUUGUGAAAACUCGAGGCUCAACCUCGAGACGUCGAUGGAAACCAUCUGGCUAGAGUCCGGAAGAGGAGAGUGGAAUUCCUGGUGUAGCGGUGAAAUGCGCAGAUAUCAGGAAGAACACCAGUGGCGAAGGCGGCUCACUGGUCCGGUACUGACGCUGAGGUGCGAAAGCGUGGGGAGCAAACAGG